CCGAUAGUUAGCAAUCGAAAUACAAAAAGGAAACAGUACUACAGUUACAACAUGGUCACUGAGAAUACAGCAAAAAUAUUAAGACAUUUAGUGCAAUUACAGGUGACCCCAACUCGAGGCAGAAGAGUAUCUGCACCACCCAUCUUAACACACAAACUAGCCCAUUACCUUUAAAUACGUCUUUGUACAGCUGAGUGUUUCUGGAAAAUUUCUUGCAUCACAAAAUUCACAUUACUUUCUUACAGCUCAGUCCUCUCCUUGCUAGGCAAGUUUUCUUCAC